GUGAGGAAUAUUGGUCAAUGGACGGAAGUCUGAACCAGCCAUGCCGCGUGCAGGAUUAAGGCCCUAUGGGUCGUAAACUGCUUUUGUGGUGGAGCAAUAAGACGUACGUGUACGUCGAUGAGAGUACAUCACGAAUAAGCAUCGGCUAACUCCGUGCCAGCAGCCGCGGUAAUACGGAGGAUGCAAGCGUUAUCCGGAUUUAUUGGGUUUAAAGGGUGCGUAGGCUGUUCGUCAAGUCAGAGGUGAAAUACCUGAGCCUAACUCAGGAACUGCCUUUGAUACUGGCGAGCUGGAAUACGGAUGCCGUGGGAGGAAUGAGUAGUGUAGCGGUGAAAUGCAUAGAUAUUACUCAGAACACCGAUUGCGAAGGCAUCUCACGAAUCCGUCAUUGACGCUGAGGCACGAAAGCGUGGGGAUCAAACAGG
rnacentral:rRNA from 1 species